UGACGCUUCGGUUGAUUUUAGAAAGUGGGAGCGGCGGACGGGUGAGUAACGGGUAGGCAACCUGCCCUUUGCAGAGGGAUANCCAUUGGAAACGAUGAUUAAAACCUCAUAACGCCUAAAUGAGACAUCUCUAACUGGCCAAAGAUUUAUCGGCAAAGGAUGGGCCUGCGUCUGAUUAGCUAGUUGGUGGGGUAACGGCCUACCAAGGCGACGAUCAGUAGCCGACCUGAGAGGGUGAUCGGCCACAUUGGAACUGAGACACGGUCCAAACUCCUACGGGAGGCAGCAGUGGGGAAUAUUGCACAAUGGGCGAAAGCCUGAUGCAGCAACGCCGCGUGAAGGAAGAAGGUCUUCGGAUCGUAAACUUCUGUCCUUAGGGAAGAUAAUGACGGUACCUUUGGAGGAAGCCCCGGCUAACUACGUGCCAGCAGCCGCGGUAAUACGUAGGGGGCAAGCGUUAUCCGGAAUUAUUGGGCGUAAAGAGUGCGUAGGUGGUUACCUAAGCAGGGGGUGAAAGGCAAUGGCUCAACCAUUGUUAGCCCCCUGAACUGGGCUACUUGAGUGCAGGAGAGGAAAGCGGAAUUCCUAGUGUAGCGGUGAAAUGCGUAGAUAUUAGGAGGAACACCAGUGGCGAAGGCGGCUUUCUGGACUGUAACUGACACUGAGGCACGAAAGUGUGGGGAGCAAACAGGAUUAGAUACCCUGGUAGUCCACACCGUAAACGAUGAGCACUAGGUGUCGGGGUCGCAAGGCUUCGGUGCCGCAGUUAACGCAUUAAGUGCUCCGCCUGGGGAGUACGUACGCAAGUAUGAAACUCAAAGGAAUUGACGGGGACCCGCACAAGCAGCGGAGCAUGUGGUUUAAUUCGAAGCAACGCGAAGAACCUUACCAGGACUUGACAUCCCGAUGACCGGUUCUUAACCGAACCUUCUCUUCGGAGCAUCGGUGACAGGUGGUGCAUGGUUGUCGUCAGCUCGUGUCGUGAGAUGUUGGGUUAAGUCCCGCAACGAGCGCAACCCUUGCCAUUAGUUGCCAUCAUUAAGUUGGGCACUSUAGUGGGACUGCCGGGGAUAACUCGGAGGAAGGUGGGGAUGACGUCAAAUC
rnacentral:rRNA from 1 species